UUCUGGCGCAGAUGGGCUGGCUUUCAAGCCCAACCUCGCGAGAGUUGGAGCUGGAGUGCCUGAGACCUAGUUGUAGCGGUCGGAGUUCAUCUGGUAACGUCUGUUAGCUACGACUUAGUGGCAGACAUCCUGUUUCCUUUUAACAACAUUGAGCUUCUACUACGUGUGUGAGGAUCACUGGUAGACACUACGGUGAUUGGAAACGACUUGCUGAUCGAACCUGGGGCCCGGCAGUGAAAGCACUGAGUCCUAAUCACUGAACCGCCAGGGAGUUCUCUAUACCUGAGUCGUCCUGUUGUUGAAUGUUCAACAGCUAAUUGUGAUUUUGGUGUUCUCGCAGGAGGAGAUAAGUGCAUCCUUCUACUCUGCCAUCUUGAAGAAUGAUGAUUUAGAUAGUGGUACUUUGAAUAGGAAGAGGCUGGAUGAUGCAGUGGAGGGUCAAAGAGGUGAAUGUAAAUGUAAAUUCAUGUUCUAGUUUUCACGUUGGUAAUUUCGUGGGGUUUUUUUUUUUAAUUACUUUUUGGCUACACUGGGUCUUCAUUGCUGUGCUGCAUGGGCAUUCUCAUUGCAUUGAGCAGGGCUGCUCCCUAGUUGCAGUGGGCUUCUCAGUGUGGUGGCCUCUCUUGUGGAGCACAGGUUGUGUGGUACGCAGACUUCACUAGUUGUGGUACAGAGGCUUAGUUGCCUCUCAGCAAGUGGAAAUUUCCCAGACCAGGGAUUAAACCUGUGCCUCUGCAUUGGUAGGUCCUAAUCACUGGACCACCAAGAAAGUCCUGUUGUAUUAUUUUAAAUGAAAGAAUUGUCAACUAAAAAAAAGAUGUACAACUUGAGAGUUAUGAGUUAAGAUUUAUUUGGGGCAAAAAGAGAACUGCCGCCUGGGAGGCAGUAUCACAGAUAGCUCUGAGAGACUGCUCCAAAGCAACAGUGGGGGAAAGACAAUAUAUAAGUUUUUGGUGAAGGGGGAGUUCAAUACCAUGAAGCACUCAAUUUACAAGAGGUUUUUUGUUAGUCAUGAGGGUCUGAUGUCACCAUGAAGGGAUUUAGUGCUUCUCUAGAUAUGAGAAGAUGCAAGGAUUGAGAUCAUAAAAUCUGUUCCUAAAAACACCCAACUAUCUAAAGACCUAUCUCACCAGAUUCCCUGGGACACAGAGUGCCUCACUCCACCCUGAACGCCCUCAGGGGUUGUUGAAGGUCAGCAGCUAUAGCAGCACGGGGUUCAGUCUCGGUAGAGGCAGAUGGCAAAUGCCUUGUUGUUCAGGCAUUGGUGAUGCUCUUGGUAAGUGCCAGUUUGUAGUUGACAGAAUGAAUGAAGGCGUGAGGGCCUUGAAUGAACGCUUGCUGAGAUUGUGUCAGGAGCCAAGAAUAAUAGUAAAUCUAAUUCUCUGCAUCUGAGCUUAAAAGUAUUUUUUCUUUUUGCAUUUAACUCUAUAUCUGCUUGAUAUUGCUGAAGAAAAGGAGGGGGAAGUAAUCUUUUAAAUUACUUGCUAUCAAGCAAAAAUGAUACUCUAGAAAAAUUUCACAUUUCUCAUGUGGCUUCAAGUACCCUCUAAUUGACUGCCACACUUUUGCCUGAGCAUUUAGAUAUCUCAAGUGUAAAAGAGCUGUGAUAGUGGAAAGACACCAAAAUAUCUUGAGUUUGGAUAGGAAUUUUGCAAAAUAAUCUCUGUUUCUUUUUAAGAUUAGUCUGCCAGCUUUACAUAGGAUAGAUUUAUUUGGAGGAGAGUUGCAAUCAGUAAAACCAACUAUCAGGUUAUUAUCAUGAUACAAUUUUUCAAGUGAGGAUGCCCUGGACUAAAUUGAGUAGUAAUUAGCAGAAACUGACAAGAAAGAGAAAAAUCCAAGAGAGUUUUGAAGGAUGAAAUAUUAAUUCUUAGAAUUAAAUAAAAUGGGGUAAACAAGAAUUCUAAGGUUCUAAGCAUUCUGAGGUUUGUACCAGAGGCAUUUCUAGGUAUACUGAGACCUAGGGAAGUGAAAGUCACUCAGUCAUGUCUGACUCUUUGCGACCCCAUGGAUCAUACAGUCCAUGGCAUUCUUCAGGCCAGGAUACUGGAGUAGGUAGCCUUUCCGUUCCCCAGCGUAUCUUCUCCUGAUACAGAGCGUGGGCUCCGGGCACCGGCUUACUUGCCCCACAGCAUGUGGGGUCUUCCCAGACCGUGGCUCAAACCUGAAUCCCCUGCAUUGGCAAGUGGGUUCCUAACCACUGAACCCCAAGGGAAGUCCAGUCUCAGAAUUUUAACCUUUGUUUUGACAAGCUUGACAUAGAGUGUCUGGGUAGCCUUUUAAGAGAGGAAAAUACAAAAAAUUCAGUUUUGACGAUAAACUUCUAUAAUCCUAAGAAUUAGAAGAGGCCUUUGAAAAUGCUUGAAUACCUAGACUAAUCACGUUCCUUUUCUGAUGUGUGAGUUUGGGCCGUCUUAAUGGAAGACUAAAAUAUGAGGUGACUUUUCCCUUUACGAAUACACAUUGUCACACUUCCUCAGUAUUCCUGUAAUAGACUGUUGGCCAAUAAUUCACUCGCACUCACUGCUUAGACUCAUACCCACCUUAGUGAUUCACUUUGCUGCCAAAAAGUCGUGGAAAAACAUAAAUACCAUAAACAAUGCUAUUAAUAUUCAUAGCUUCAUUUCUCUGACUCCAGGCCAUUUUUAGGAUCUCAUUCACCUAUGCAUUUAGUAUAGGGCAUAUUAGUAGAUACACAAAAAUAUUUGUCAAAGAGAUGAAAUACAUAUUCUACACACAAAAGCAUUCCACCAAAGCACAGGAAAAUUUUAACUUUCCGUUCUUGUGGUGUAGGUCAUUCAGCCUUUCCCAGACAGAGGGAAAUUGUUCUGUAUGGGACAAAUUAGAACUUUUUCAUUCAUUUCAAUAUGAUUCUCAUACAUUUUUAUGUCUCAGGGUUCUCUCUUGAAUCUCAUGCAAAUAAUUCAUUCCAUAAUGUUUUCAACAUAGAGGCCAGUUGGCUAUUUCACAUAAAACUUCCUAAAUGAAUGUACCAUAGUGAUUUUACUUUU